rnacentral:rRNA from 1 species
ACGSGASGCAGCAGUGGGGRAUAUUGCACAAKGGGCRCAAGCCUGAUGCAGCAACGCCGCGUGRGGGAUGACGGCCUUCGGGUUGUAAACCUYUUUUAGCAGGGAAGAAGCGAAAGUGACGGUACCUSCAGAAAAAGCGCCGGCUAACUACGUGCCAGCAGCCGCGGUAAUACGUAGGGCGCAAGCGUUAUCCGGAAUUAUUGGGCGUAAAGAGCUCGUAGGCGGUUUGUCGCGUCUGCUGUGAAAUCCCGAGGCUCAACCUCGGGCCUGCAGUGGGUACGGGCAGACUAGAGUGCGGUAGGGGAGAUUGGAAUUCCUGGUGUAGCGGUGGAAUGCGCAGAUAUCAGGAGGAACACCGAUGGCGAAGGCAGAUCUCUGGGCCGUAACUGACGCUGAGGAGCGAAAGGGUGGGGAGCAAACAGGCUUAGAUACCCUGGUAGUCCACCCCGUAAACGUUGGGAACUAGUUGUGGGGUCCAUUCCACGGAUUCCGUGACGCAGCUAACGCAUUAAGUUCCCCGCCUGGGGAGUACGGCCGCAAGGCUAAAACUCAAAGGAAUUGACGGGGACCCGCACAAGCGGCGGAGCAUGCGGAUUAAUUCGAUGCAACGCGAAGAACCUUACCAAGGCUUGACAUAUACGAGAACGGGCCAGAAAUGGUCAACUCUUUGGACACUCGUAAACAGGUGGUGCAUGGUUGUCGUCAGCUCGUGUCGUGAGAUGUUGGGUUAAGUCCCGCAACGAGCGCAACCCUCGUUCUAUGUUGCCAGCACGUAAUGGUGGGAACUCAUGGGAUACUGCCGGGGUCAACUCGGAGGAAGGUGGGGAUGACGUCAAAUCAUCAUGCCCCUUAUGUCUUGGGCUUCACGCAUGCUACAAUGGCCGGUACAAAGGGCUGCAAUACCGUGAGGUGGAGCGAAUCCCAAAAAGCCGGUCCCAGUUCGGAUUGAGGUCUGCAACUCGACCUCAUGAAGUCGGAGUCGCUAGUAAUCGCAGAUCAGCAACGCUGCGGUGAAUACGUUCCCGGGUCUUGUACACACCGCCCGUCAAGUCAUGAAAGUCGGUAACACCUGAAGCCGGU